CAAGUUGUCUGUUUUUAUAAUUCGUAUUCUAGAUUAUAUUAUGAUAAUUCUUAUCGCAUUUAUUAUUUAUUAGCAUAUAUAAAUUAUCACAGAUUGUUGACAUAUAUCCAACAGUGGUGACUGUUAGUUAGUGGAAGCUAUGCUUUCAUGACUUCCUAUUGAUUUUGGAGACAAAGUGUUAAUUUAACAGAUUUUUAAAUGGGAUUCAACGGAUGCGACAUUUUUAAUAAAUUGAGUACUUGUUUGGAAUAUUUAAAAAAGUUGAAACUAAUUUAUACUAACACUUAAAGAUUGGAAGAUUUGAAGUACUUAAUCUUUCCUUUACUGUCUUCAACUUAUUGAAUCUUGGAUUCAA
rnacentral:lncRNA from 1 species